CACCCUUGACAUGAUGAGGUCAAGAAUUCGAUAUAGGAUUUACCAGCAGGGAGAAAAAUUCACCUCUAAAGUUGAGUGAAAAGUCUUCCAGGGAGGAGUAAGGGCUGUUCUGUCUUAAUCAGUGCAUGGAGACCAAACCCACGAACAAGAAGAUAAGCAUCAAAUGGAGAACCAGUGUCUUGCCAAGAAAGUUCCAGGUUUCUGCUCCUUUCGCUAUGGAUUGGCUAUCGUUUUGCACUUCUGUAACAUUGUCAUCAUGGCUCAGAGAGUAUGCCUGAACCUCACAAUGGUAGCCAUGGUGAACAGAACAGAGCCACCCCAUUUACCCAACGGAUCUGCAGUGGAGAGACUGGAUGAUGGAAAGAACCCUGUGUAUUCUUGGAGUCUUGAUAUUCAAGGGCUUAUCCUCAGUUCUGUCUUCUUUGGUAUGGUCGUGGUUCAGCUUCCCAUUGGGUACCUGUCUGGAAUAUACCCAAUGAAGAGAAUACUUGGGUUUUCAAUGCUCCUGAGCUCUGUGCUCUCCAUGCUCAUCCCACCAGCGGCCCAGGUUGGAGCAGCUUUGGUCAUUGUGUGUCGAGUACUCCAGGGAGUAGCCCAGGGGAUAGUAUCAACAGGCCAACAUGAAAUAUGGGUCAAAUGGGCACCACCCUUGGAACGAGGCCGACUUACCUCCAUGACGUUAUCGGGAUUUGUAAUGGGACCAUUUAUUGUCCUUCUUGUGAGUGGAUUCAUCUGUGAUCUUCUGGGUUGGCCCAUGGUUUUCUACAUUUUCGGUAUUUUGGGCUGUAUCCUGAGUCUUUGCUGGUUCCUUCUGUUCUAUGAUGACCCCAAGGACCACCCAUAUAUGAGCAGCAGUGAGAAGGCCUACAUCACAUCCUCUCUUCCCCAGCAGGUCAGCUCGCGCAGACAAUCUCUGCCCAUCAAAGCUAUGUUUAAGUCUCUUCCGCUCUGGGCUAUUAUCCUCAACACCUUUGCUUUCAUAUGGUCCAACAGCCUCCUGGUUACAUAUACUCCAACAUUUAUCAGCUCCGUGCUUCAUGUUAACAUUAGAGAGAACGGGCUGCUGUCCAGCCUCUCCUAUCUGUUUGCUUACAUCUGUGGCAUGGUAGCAGGUCAGAUGGCAGACUUCCUCCUGUCCCGGAAGAUUUUCAGCGUAGUUAACGUGCGGAAACUCUUCUCCACACUAGGGAUUCUCUCUCCUGUGAUCUUCAUCAUGUGCCUGCUCUACCUGAGCUCCAGCUUCUACAGCACCAUCAUCUUCCUGACACUCGCCAACUCGACACUCACCUUUUCCUUCUGUGGACAGCAUAUCAACGCCUUGGAUAUUGCUCCCAGCUAUUAUGGAUUUAUUAAAGCAGUUUCAGCUUUAAUUGGAAUGAUUGGAGGCCUGAUUUCUUCAACUGUAGCUGGGUUGAUCCUUAAUCAGGAUCCAGAAAAUGCAUGGCAUAAAAUCUUCUUCUUGAUGUCCGGCAUUAAUGUGACGUGCCUAACUUUCUACAAUAUAUUUGCUAAAGGAGAAAUUCAGGACUGGGCUAAAGAAACAAGAAACACACGACUGUGAAGGGAUUUAUUUGUAAAACAUGGUCUGGCAAUGAAGGCCAAACUGGCCUCCCAAGUCCUGGAAUUACAUGCAUGUCCCACAUUGCUGUGCUUAUUUUAACGACGUAAAAAUGCAACUCUGAUGUGGGAUUCCCCUCUGUAUGCUGUAAUUACCAUUACUGAAUAAAGAAAACUGUCUUGGGCCUAUGCAGGGAAUAGAGGUAUGUGGAGAAAACUAAACUGAAUGCUGGGAGAAAGAAAGAGGAGUAAGGAGAGACGCCAUGUAGCCCCGCCAGAGACAGACGUUGGUACUUUACUUGGUAAGCAACUGCCACGUGGUGAUACCCAGAUUAAUGGAGAUGAAUUAAAUUUAUAUGUAAAAAUUAGCCAAUAAGAAGUUAGAGCUAAUGGACCAAGCAGUGAUUUAAGUAAUACAGUUUUGUGUGAUUAUUUCUGGUCUGAACUGCUGGGCGACCAAGAAACAAACAAGUGGCCUCCUUCAACACAACUCCAGGAUGGAGGCUUUAGAAUGAAAACUGGCAUCCCAGCAGCACUGGUACUAAUUCUGAGAGCCCUCAGUUUGAGGCAAACUAUGCUGAAUGAUCAUGCAUGAGAAACGUGACUUUAACAUGAGAGGCUCAUCCUGUAAGAAUUCACAAACCAUAAUCCACGACCCUGAGCAUUUUCACAUGCACCACACCCACAGACUAUGGAAUUUCCCUUCAUAAGCUGAGCUGAGAAUGAAGGUUUGUUAAAAACUCCAGAUGCAUGAGCUUUGAGUUCUUCCUCACUGAGGAACUAACAGCACAUUAGACUGACUUCUACUAACUACCGCCAUUAAGUUUCUCUUACUGCUACUUCUUACAAUGUUUAAACCUUACCUGACCGAUGAAAAAUCCAGCAACUGUAGGAGCUAUGCCUCCUGCUAUAUAAGAAAAGACUUGCAGUAGUCCCUUGAGAAAGCCAGCGUACCUGGGAAGGGGGAAGUCUCAGGUAAGCAAAGGGCUCAUCUCGGUUAAAUUGUGCUGUCCUAUCUCUAUGUUUAUCUCUGGGGAGGUUUAGGGUGGUGCAUAUUAAACUUGAACACCAUAUGCUAACUAAUGAUCCUUAUACCUCUAUGCUACAGGCUCAGCCUUGGAGGGGUAAUCUAUGCUAACGUGUCAACUUCUUGUUCUUGCUACUGAGUCCAAUCUUGUAGCCCUGUUUCGGGAUAAAAUGUCUCCUCCUUCUGUAUCAAAGACCUUCAUGGGAUGAGAUGGCUGUUCUCUAGACCAGCCUGUGUCCUACAUGCUUCAGGGGCCCAUUGUGUAAAGAUGAAACAUGUCCUGUGCCUGAAUUAGACCCCGGGAGCUUUACGUCCGGUCUCAGUUCUCUCUGGCAUGACCCAUACCAGAGAUAACGAUUCUUUCCUUUGGUUCUAUGUCUUGUCCCUUUAUUUUGGUGGGUGUAUAUGUGUUCACAUGUGUGCCAGUAUGCAUGUUCAUGUAUGUGCUACAAGUGGAGGCCAGAAGAUGACCUUGGGUGUCAUUCUUCAGUUGUUGUCCAUAUUUCUUUAGGAAUAUUGUCUCUCACUAGCAUAGAAAUUGCCCAGUAGGCUAGACCAGUUGCAAGCAAGCCACAGGGAUCCGUACCUCUUGCCAGCUUCCCAACUCUAGGAUUGCAAGUACACACCACUAUACCUGGCUUGUUUUAUUUUACUUUAUUUUUUUCAGUGUGAGUUCUGGGGACAGAACUCAAGUCCACAUGGUUGCCUGGCAAGUAUUUACCAACUGAGCCAUUUCUCUCAACCCCCUUCCCCAUUUGUUUAAGCUCCACAUGAACCUCCAUGAUGGGAUUUCUUGAGAACUUUCAGGAACCAAUCCAAUGGACCUGCUGCAUUCUUCAGCAUUGACUUACAGGACUUUUAAAAAUAUGACACCGUGACCUGAUUUGGAACCACACCUCUGCUCAAGUAAGCAGUGAACCACACUGAGAUCAGUGUGAAUCCAAGUUACCUAGCUGCAUUUCCUGUGAGGGGUCCUGGCCUAAAUUCCUCAUCCUGUGGCCACGAGUGAGACCACACAGAGAAACACAGCAAACGGGUACGCCUUCUUUAUACUCACGUCUCUGAGGUUUGCUUGAAGUACAGAGCCGAUAUAUGUGGGUGUGUAUGCCAUCAUCGUGGAUAACAGCCAAUACUGGCAGAAGUAAGAAACUACAAUAGCCCAAAGUGGGAGAGAUUUGACCAUGGCUUUAAUGGGAAGAGACCAGCCUGGUGAGCAAACCUAAAAGAAAACACAUGCGAUUAUGUCCUCCAUCACAAGAUAGGAGUGACCCUGCUCUACCUCUGAGAUGCCCAGGGAUAGGGAAAGUGACAAGGAGAUUCCUCAAUGUACCUCGUGAGCCAGUGAACACGCAAUGUAUCUCUUCUCAGCAGCGCUGAUGAAGGGGUGGUUCUGUGGGUCAUCAUAUACGAGAGGAAACCAGAUCAGGCAACAGGCACAGCCAAUUCCACCUGCGGUAGAAGAGCCUGUCAGCACUGUGUGAUGAGAGAAACAGAAAAGAGGCCACCAGCUGCUCCGUGGGACUUCAGGAAGAAAAGCAGCUGCUUCCAAGACGUGCGCCAUGAUACUCAAUUUUUCACAUGAGUUCUGGACAUUAGACUCAGCUCCUUAUGCCUACAUGGCAAUCACUUUACCAACUGAGCCAUCUCCUGAGCCCAGAAAAGUGUAUGUGUGCUUGUUAUUAUUUUCCUGAUCAUCCCUGUCACCUGGGUACCCUGUCCUUUAAGAGACGAGCUCCAACCAGUCCCAACCCUCCAUUCCCCCCACCACACAAGCAGAUCCCCUGCCUCCUCUCCAGCCUUCUCUUUCUGUGUGUGUCUCUCUCUGUCUCUCUCUGUGUAUGUCUCUCUCUCUUUCUCUCUCUCUCUCUCUCUCUCUCUCUCUGUCUCUCUCUCUCUCUCCCUGUCCCUCUUUUGAAGAAGUAACUACUACCUCACUUUCCCUUCCCUCUCUCUCUAUCUCUUUACCCCCUUUCCUCUCUUUCUCUCUACCCUUUCCCCCCUUCUCCCUUUCCAGCUUCCCUUGCCUCUCCAUAACUCACUAAAUAAACACUAUACCCAAACUCUCUCUCUCUGCAUGGCGUAUCUUUCUAUCUCUCACCCACCUUGGUCUUCCACUCACCAAGGGGACCUGUGGAGGCCUCUGGGGACCUGCUACUGCCCUGCCGAGGCCUUGGGUAGCCUGCUGCUGCCCCUCCUGGGACUGGUCCCCCACCACCAAGUGUUUAUAAACAAUAACAAUGCUGAUGUCCAUAAAGUCAUAAGGGUAUUCAACCACAUAACCAAAGUAUUAAAUUCAUACUAGUUUCUCUUUUGAAAUUUACUUGUUUUGUUUUAUAUGUAUGAGCUUUUUGUCUUCACAUGUGUUUGUGCACCUGUGGAGAUCAGAAGAGGGCAUGGGAUCCCCUAGAAUUGGAGUUACAAAAGGUUAUGGGCCAUUUUGUGGGUGCUUUGAACUGAUCCUGGGUCCUCUGCAAGAGCAACAAAAACUCCUAACUGCUAAGCCAUCUUUCCAGCCCCCAGAAUACUAAAAUCUAGAGGCUCUUUUAUAAAUCAGCUAGAUUUUCACCAUGACUAGUUUUGAACAUUGCCAACUUUACAUAAAUGCUAUCUGUUCGAAUUUAGACAGCCAAAGAUGCGUUCAACCCAGAUACCCAGCAUUCAUUGUCAUAGAGAAACAUUCUGAAAUUUUAAAAAUGAACAAACUCACCAAAGAUGUAGAAGAUAUAAGGCCAUCCGAGGUUCUGGCAAAGAAGACCACCAGCAAUGAGGACAAGGAAGGUCCCAAGCAUUGCUCCUAAGCAAAAGAUGCAAGGAUAUUAUGUAAAUGAGAGCUGGCCUUGGGAAUCCAGAAGCUUCCUACAGAGUUGAGUGAUGGUGAAUGAGGGUUUGAGCUUCAAUCAAGACUACAGCAAUACAAACCCUGCUCCUUCCCUCAGCAGCCACUUGAUCUCAGACACUUAUCAGUCUACUUGUGUCUUGGAUUUUUUUUUACACUGUGUACAUACUUCUUAAGUGAUUUGUAGGGUUCCUAAGAGGGUAAAAGAAAUUAAUGUAUACAAAAUCCAAGAAUGUUUGCUGCGUUGGUAACAUACUAU